UACAGAGGGUGCAAGCGUUGUUCGGAAUUACUGGGCGUAAAGCGCGUGUAGGCGGCUUCGCAAGUCGGGUGUGAAAGCCCUGGGCUCAACCUAGGAAGUGCACUCGAAACUGCGAAGCUUGAGUCCUGGAGAGGAAGGCGGAAUUCUCGGUGUAGAGGUGAAAUUCGUAGAUAUCGAGAGGAACACCGGUGGCGAAGGCGGCCUUCUGGACAGUGACUGACGCUGAGACGCGAAAGCGUGGGGAGCAAACAGG
rnacentral:rRNA from 1 species